UACGUAGGGUGCGAGCGUUGUCCGGAAUUACUGGGCGUAAAGAGCUCGUAGGUGGUUUGUCGCGUUGUCCGUGAAAACUCACAACUCAAUUGUGGGCGUGCGGGCGAUACGGGGCAGACUGGAGUACUGCAGGGGAGACUGGAAUUCCUGGUGUAGCGGUGGAAUGCGCAGAUAUCAGGAGGAACACCGGUGGCGAAGGCGGG
rnacentral:rRNA from 1 species